rnacentral:rRNA from 1 species
UGGCAUGGGGGGAACCCUGAUCAGCCUGCCGCGUGUGUGAAGAAGGCCUUUUGGUUGUAAAGCACUUUAAGCGAGGAGGAGGAGCUCUAGAUUAAUACUCUAGAUGCUUGGACGUUACUCGCAGAAUAAGCACCGGCUAACUCUGUGCCAGCAGCCGCGGUAAUACAGAGGGUGCAAGCGUUAAUCGGAUUUACUGGGCGUAAAGCGUGCGUAGGUGGUCUUUUAAGUCGGAUGUGAAAUCCCUGAGCUUAACUUAGGAAUUGCAUUCGAUACUGGGAGACUAGAGUAUGGGAGAGGAUGGUAGAAUUCCAGGUGUAGCGGUGAAAUGCGUAGAGAUCUGGAGGAAUACCGAUGGCGAAGGCAGCCAUCUGGCCUAAUACUGACACUGAGGUACGAAAGCAUGGGGAGC